AAGGUUAAGAUAUUGUGAAUAUGUAAGAUAAGUAUUCUAAAGGUUAAGAAAAGGUGCUGAAUUCAGCACCUAGUUCCAUUUGUGAGAUGAUGAAAUAAACAUCAGCUUGGUUCCAA